GGAGUACUCCCUCCGUCCGAAAAAACUUGUCUCUCAAAUGGAUGUAUCUAGCAUCAAGUUAGUGCUAGAUACAUUCAUUUGAGGUACAAGCUUGGGACAAGCUUUUUCGGACAGAGGGAGUAGUAA
rfam:Triticum aestivum genome assembly, contig: Triticum_aestivum_CS42_TGACv1_scaffold_271450_3DS